AGAGUUUGAUCCUGGCUCAGGAUGAACGCUAGCGGCAGGCCUAAUACAUGCAAGUCGUACGGUAAGACACCCUUCGGGGUGUUGAGAGUGGCGGACGGGUGCGUAACGCGUAUGCAACCAACCCCCGACGGGCGGACAGCCGGUGGAAACGCCGGAUAAUACGCCAUGCGGCUGUCCAGGGGCAUCCCUGGGCGGUCAAAGCCUUGGCGGUCGGGGACGGGCAUGCGUGCCAUUAGAUGGUCGGCGGGGUAACGGCCCACCGAGCCCGCGAUGGGUAGGGGUACUGAGAGGUAGGUCCCCCCACACUGGAACUGAGACACGGUCCAGACUCCUACGGGAGGCAGCAGUGAGGAAUAUUGGUCAAUGGGGGCAACCCUGAACCAGCCAAGUAGCGUGGAGGAUGACGGCCCUACGGGUUGUAAACUCCUUUUAUGCGGGGGUAAGGUGCGCCACGGGUGGUGUAUUGCAAGUACCGCAUGAAUAAGCAUCGGCUAACUCCGUGCC
rnacentral:rRNA from 1 species